UCUUGGUCAGGACGAACGCUGGCGGCGUGCCUAACACAUGCAAGUCGAACGGAGUAAGAAUUCGGUUUUACUUAGUGGCGAACGGGUGAGUAACGCGUGAACAACCUGCCUUCCUGAGGGGGAUAACACCUGGAAACAAGUGCUAAUACCGCAUAAGACCACAGAGCCGCAUGGCUCAGGGGUCAAAGGAGUGAUCCGCAGGAAGAGGGGUUCGCGUCCCAUUAGCUAGUUGGCGGGGCAACGGCCCACCAAGGCGACGAUGGGUAGCCGAGCUGAGAGGCUGAUCGGCCACACUGGAACUGAGACACGGUCCAGACUCCUACGGGAGGCAGCAGUGGGGAAUAUUGGGCAAUGGGCGCAAGCCUGAACCCCAGCAACGCCGCGUGAGGGAAGAAGGUCUUCGGAUUGUAAACCUCUGUCCUAUGUGACGAAGGAAGUGACGGUAGCAUAGGAGGGAGCCCCGGCUAACUACGUGCCAGCCGCCGC
rnacentral:rRNA from 1 species